GAUGAACGCUGGCGGCGUGCCUAAUACAUGCAAGUCGAGCGAACGGACGAGAAGCUUGCUUCUCUGAUGUUAGCGGCGGACGGGUGAGUAACACGUGGAUAACCUACCUAUAAGACUGGGAUAACUUCGGGAAACCGGAGCUAAUACCGGAUAAUAUUUUGAACCGCAUGGUUCAAAAGUGAAAGACGGUCUUGCUGUCACUUAUAGAUGCAUCUCGGCUGCAUUAGCUAGUUGGUAAGGUAACGGCUUACCAAGGCAACGAUGCAUAGCCGACCUGUGAGGGUGAUAGGCCACACUGGAACUGAGACGCGGUCCAGACUCCUACGGGAGGCAGCAGUAGGGAAUGGUCCGCAGUGGGCGAAAGCCUGACGGAGCAACGCCGCGUGAGUGAUGGAGGUCUUGGGAGCGUAAUACUCUGUUAUGAGGGAAGAACAUAUGUGUCAGUAACUGUGCACAGCUUGACGGUACCUGAUCAGAAAGCAACGGCUAACUACGUG
rnacentral:rRNA from 1 species